GGAACUACUAUUUCGAAAAAAAAAAUGUUUAAAAAAUUGCCGCACUGCACUUUUUCCUUAUCUCGUAAGUGAAACUUACCACGUUCGAACUUCUUAAAGAAAACUCACUAGGUACUCUAUACUAUCUGGAGGUUGACACAGAAAUGACCAUCAUUCAAUGGUAUACUCAACCCAUGACCAUCCUGCGCUAUUAGCUGUUUCAUUAUCAUACAUAACCCCCACUAUGUCUUCUAUGUGCAAUUGACAUCAUCCGAUUUAAUGCAGCAUUUAAUCGAAUGACGUCAUAUUGUCUUUCUUUUUCUCAGACAAGAAUCUAUUUCGCCCUCUAUCAUCUAUUCCUGCAACUAAAAAAAAAUAUUUGAAAUGGGUUCUAAGCCCAAAUUAUCUAAUCCACAAACCUAAUUCAUAAAUCCACCUCGGUAGUCGGUGCGGUAGAUAAUCUACGUUCUCAUUAGAUCGUAGACAUAUUCGGCUUCGCUUUAGAACGCAUUCAUUUUUAUUUUGCAUUUUAUUUUGGUUUCUUGCUCCGCGUGGAUGACGUCGAUUCAACUUCUUUAAAAAAAAUUUACAUUUUGCGCCGAUUAUAACAAAAAAACAUAACAAACAGGAACAGCGAACACAGUCUGGAAACGGAGCUCUCAGGACAUUGUUUCCCCCACCAUAGGAAUUUGAGGUUUAUUCAAGGAGUUCCAUUAUCGGUACCUCGACUCAACCUUUAAAACAAAUUUGUGACAAACAUACAUAUCAAAAUAUAAAAUUUAUCCCAUAAAAAAAAAAUGAAUUGAUUUCUACCAUCGUCGUCAGUGGGCACAUCGUACGAGCACGAGCUCUAGAUCGCCAAAAACGCUUGAACCACAUACCUAUAAUUAUAAGGAGCGGACGGUGAGCAUAGUUUUGGGUGCCAUCGCUGCCCUCCUAUAAGAGUUUAAGUUCCUCAAUGACUUUUACCAUAAAUUGUCGUGCUAAUGUCGCACACGGACACAAGGACUAUGUUUCUAUCGUCGCAGCUUCCUUAGUUGUUGUAUCCUUUGAUACACACGACAUUUAAAGGCCAAUCGCAAUGAUGUUUUAAGGUGUCCGUAACAAACCAACUGACUCGGAAGUCUGUUCCACAGCAACGAGGACGUUGGCAGGAGCACCGGUAACUUGAUUUUUAAGGAAGAACGUGGGGAAGUUAACCCACCCCAAAUGAGCCGGGCAACAAACUUAAGUUACAAUUUGUAUCUUUUGGUGAGUUGUUAUUUCAAGAUACUUUUAUUAUUCUAGUAUGUAUUCAACGUGAAGUUAUAGAUAAAAAGUCAUUGACCUUGGUAGAUUUGUCUAUAGUGAAAUUAUUUUGCGUUUGAUAUUCUAUCUCUACUAUACCCUGUACUUUGGGACAUUUUCAUUCUUGUGAAUUUCUUUUUGGUUUUUGAUUUAUCUAUAGAAAUAGAUUUUCAAGGACGAGAACUUUUAAGUUUGUUUUGGUUAUUAGCAAUGCUAAUUGAAUAUUAGCAAAGCUAUAUAAAUAAAAUAUUUUUUUUCUAAUCUACUAUCACAGGUCGUUAAUAUCAGUACGGGUUUUAAAAUAAAUAUGAAUAAAUAAAUAAAAAAA